GAUCUAUCCAUGGCCAGGUUGAAGUCCGGGUGACACCGGAUGGAGGACCGAACCAAUUGGUGUUGCAAAACCAUUGGAUGAGCUGUGGAUAGGAGUGAAAAGCUAAUCGAGUGCGGUGAUAGCUGGUUCUCCCCGAAAUGCAUUUAGGUGCAGCCUCUUGCGUUCAGUGACGGAGGUAGAGCACUGGAUGGGUGAGGGGGGUGGUGACCCUACCGAACUCAACCAAACUCCGAAUGCCGUCACUUAAAAGCAGGGGAGUGAGACCGUGGGGGAAAAGCUCCGCGGUCGAAAGGGAAACAGCCCAGACCGACGGCUAAGGUCCCCAAUGCGGGCUAAGUGUGGUAAGGAUGUGGAAGAGCUCAGACAGCCAGGAGGUUGGCUUAGAAGCAGCCAUCCUUGAAAGAGUGCGUAAUAGCUCACUGGUCGAGCGCUUCUGCGCCGAAAAUGUAGGGGGCUAAGCUCGCAACCGAAGCCUCGGAUCCGAAAAGCCAGAUCUUUUCGGAUGGUAGGGGAGCGUUCCUGUCGGGCCGAAGUCGCAUCGUGAGGUGCGGUGGACUGACAGGAAGUGAGAAUGCCGGCAUGAGUAGCGUUAAAGCAAGUGAAAGACUUGCUCACCGGAAGCCCAAGGGUUCCUGGGGAAGGGAAUCCGCCCAGGGUUAGGCGGGACCUAAGGUGUAGCCGAAGGGCGAAGCCGAUGGACAGCCGGUAGACAUUCCGGCCCCACCUUGGUGACGUUUGUACCGAAGGGGUGACGCAGGGAGCUAGGCACGCUGGGCGAUGGAAUGCCCAGUCCAAGGGAGUAGGGGGAGCCUUCAGGCAAAUCCGAGGGCUCGAAACCCCGAGACCUGAUGGGGAGCCUUAAUUAUAAGGCGAAGGUGUUGACGCUGCACUGCCGAGAAAAGCCUCUAGGGAGGAGCCAAGGUGCCCGUACCCUAAACCGACACAGGUGGGCUGGUUGAGCAGACUGAAGGUGUACGGGAUAACUCUCGCUAAGGAACUCGGCAAGUUGACCCCGUAACUUAGGGAGAAGGGGUGCCCGCGUUAGGUGAACUCUUUUACAGGGGUAGCCGAGGCGGGUUGCAGAAACCAGGUCCAGGCGACUGUUUAAUAAAAACACAGGGCUCUGCUAAAGGCGAAAGCCGAUGUAUAGGGCCUGACACCUGCCCGGUGCCGGAAGGUUAAGGGGAGGGGUUAGCCAAAGCAAUUUGGCGAAGCUCUAAACCGAAGCCCCGGUAAACGGCGGCCGUAACUAUAACGGUCCUAAGGUAGCGAAAUUCCUUGUCGGGUAAGUUCCGACCUGCACGAAAGGUGUAACGAUCUGGACGCUGUCUCAGCGAGAGACCCGGUGAAAUUGUGGGACCGGUAAAGACGCCGGUUACCCGUGGUUGGACGGGAAGACCCCGUGGAGCUUUACUGUAGCCUGAUAUUGGACUUUGGUACGUCAUGUACAGGAUAGGUGGGAGGCUGUGAAGCUAGGGCGCCAGCCUUAGUGGAGCCACCCUUGGGAUACCACCCUUGAUGUGCUGGGGUUCUAACCGCGAAAGCGGAACAGUGUCAGGUGGGCAGUUUGACUGGGGCGGUCGCCUCCUAAAGAGUAACGGAGGCGCGCGAAGGUCACCUCAAGGCGUAUGGAAAUCGCCUGAAGAGCGUAAGGGCAUAAGGUGGCCUGACUGCGAGAGCGACAGCUCGAGCAGGCACGAAAGUGGGUCCUAGUGAUCCGGCGGUUCCGAGUGGAAGGGCCGUCGCUCAACGGAUAAAAGCUACCCCGGGGAUAACAGGCUGAUCCCGCCCGAGAGUUCCUAUCGACGGCGGGGAUUGGCACCUCGAUGUCGGCUCAUCGCAUCCUGGGGCUGUAGCAGGUCCCAAGGGUUGGUCUGUUCGCCCAUUAAAGCGGUACGUGAGCUGGGUUUAGAACGUCGUGAGACAGUUCGGUCCCUAUCCACCACGGGCGUAGGGGGUUUGAGAGGAGCUGCUCCUAGUACGAGAGGACCGGAGUGGACGAACCUCUGGUGUACCGGUUGUGGCGCCAGCUGCAGGAGCCGGGUAGCCACGUUCGGAAAGGAUAACCGCUGAAGGCAUCUAAGCGGGAAGCCUACCUCAAGAUGAGACCCCCCACUGGGAAAGCCAGGUAAGGUGUCCUGGAGAUGACAGGGUAGAUAGGCCGGAGGUGGAAGCCCUGUAAAGGGUGUAGCUGACCGGUACUAAUACACCGAGGCCUUGUCCUU
rnacentral:rRNA from 1 species